rnacentral:rRNA from 1 species
GUCUACAGCCAUGCCACCCUGAACAACCUCGAUGUCUGAUCUCGGAAGCUAAGCAGGGUCAGACCUGGUUAGUACUUGGAUGGGAGACCACCUAGGAAGACCAGGUGCUGUAGGCA